GACAGCCCCGUACACAAAAGCGCAUGUGCUGUGAGCUCGAUGAGUAGGGCGGGACACGUGGUAUCCUGUCUGAAUAUGGGGGGACCAUCCUCCAAGGCUAAAUACUCCUGACUGACCGAUAGUGAACCAGUACCGUGAGGGAAAGGCGAAAAGAACCCCGGCGAGGGGAGUGAAAAAGAACCUGAAACCGUGUACGUACAAGCAGUGGGAGCACAGGUUUACCUGUGUGACUGCGUACCUUUUGUAUAAUGGGUCAGCGACUUAUAUUCUGUAGCAAGGUUAACCGAAUAGGGGAGCCGGAGGGAAACCGAGUCUUAAUUGGGCGUUAAGUUGCAGGGUAUAGACCCGAAACCCGGUGAUCUAGCCAUGGGCAGGUUGAAGGUUGGGUAACACUAACUGGAGGACCGAACCGACUAAUGUUGAAAAAUUAGCGGAUGACCUGUGGCUGGGGGUGAAAGGCCAAUCAAACCGGGAGAUAGCUGGUUCUCCCCGAAAGCUAUUUAGGUAGCGCCUCGUGAAUUCAUCUCCGGGGGUAGAGCACUGUUUCGGCUAGGGGGCCAUCCCGGCUUACCAACCCGAUGCAAACUGCGAAUACCGGAGAAUGUUAUCACGGGAGACACACGGCGGGUGCUAACGUCCGUCGUGAAGAGGGAAACAACCCAGACCGCCAGCUAAGGUCCCAAAGUCAUGGUUAAGUGGGAAACGAUGUGGGAAGGCCCAGACAGCCAGGAUGUUGGCUUAGAAGCAGCCAUCAUUUAAAGAAAGCGUAAUAGCUCACUGGUCGAGUCGGCCUGCGCGGAAGAUGUAACGGGGCUAAACCAUGCACCGAAGCUGCGGCAGCGACACUGUGUGUUGUUGGGUAGGGGAGCGUUCUGUAAGCCUGUGAAGGUGUGUCGUGAGGCAUGCUGGAGGUAUCAGAAGUGCGAAUGCUGACAUAAGUAACGAUAAAGCGGGUGAAAAGCCCGCUCGCCGGAAGACCAAGGGUUCCUGUCCAACGUUAAUCGGGGCAGGGUGAGUCGACCCCUAAGGCGAGGCCGAAAGGCGUAGUCGAUGGGAAACGGGUUAAUAUUCCCGUACUUGGUGUUACUGCGAAGGGGGGACGGAGAAGGCUAUGUUGGCCGGGCGACGGUUGUCCCGGUUUAAGCGUGUAGGUGUGUGUUCCAGGUAAAUCCGGUUCACUUUAACACUGAGGCGUGACGACGAGGCACUACGGUGCUGAAGCAACAAAUGCCCUGCUUCCAGGAAAAGCCUCUAAGCAUCAGGUAACAUCAAAUCGUACCCCAAACCGACACAGGUGGUCAGGUAGAGAAUACCAAGGCGCUUGAGAGAACUCGGGUGAAGGAACUAGGCAAAAUGGUGCCGUAACUUCGGGAGAAGGCACGCUGACACGUAGGUGAAGUGAUUUACUCAUGGAGCUGAAGUCAGUCGAAGAUACCAGCUGGCUGCAACUGUUUAUUAAAAACACAGCACUGUGCAAACACGAAAGUGGACGUAUACGGUGUGACGCCUGCCCGGUGCCGGAAGGUUAAUUGAUGGGGUCAGCGCAAGCGAAGCUCCUGAUCGAAGCCCCGGUAAACGGCGGCCGUAACUAUAACGGUCCUAAGGUAGCGAAAUUCCUUGUCGGGUAAGUUCCGACCUGCACGAAUGGCGUAAUGAUGGCCAGGCUGUCUCCACCCGAGACUCAGUGAAAUUGAACUCGCUGUGAAGAUGCAGUGUACCCGCGGCAAGACGGAAAGACCCCGUGAACCUUUACUAUAGCUUGACACUGAACAUUGAGCCUUGAUGUGUAGGAUAGGUGGGAGGCUUUGAAGUGUGGACGCCAGUCUGCAUGGAGCCGACCUUGAAAUACCACCCUUUAAUGUUUGAUGUUCUAACGUGGACCCGUUACCCGGGUUGCGGACAGUGUCUGGUGGGUAGUUUGACUGGGGCGGUCUCCUCCUAAAGAGUAACGGAGGAGCACGAAGGUUGGCUAAUCCUGGUCGGACAUCAGGAGGUUAGUGCAAUGGCAUAAGCCAGCUUGACUGCGAGCGUGACGGCGCGAGCAGGUGCGAAAGCAGGUCAUAGUGAUCCGGUGGUUCUGAAUGGAAGGGCCAUCGCUCAACGGAUAAAAGGUACUCCGGGGAUAACAGGCUGAUACCGCCCAAGAGUUCAUAUCGACGGCGGUGUUUGGCACCUCGAUGUCGGCUCAUCACAUCCUGGGGCUGAAGUAGGUCCCAAGGGUAUGGCUGUUCGCCAUUUAAAGUGGUACGCGAGCUGGGUUUAGAACGUCGUGAGACAGUUCGGUCCCUAUCUGCCGUGGGCGCUGGAGAACUGAGGGGGGCUGCUCCUAGUACGAGAGGACCGGAGUGGACGCAUCACUGGUGUUCGGGUUGUCAUGCCAAUGGCACUGCCCGGUAGCUAAAUGCGGAAGAGAUAAGUGCUGAAAGCAUCUAAGCACGAAACUUGCCCCGAGAUGAGUUCUCCCUGAGACUUA
rnacentral:rRNA from 1 species